ACGGAAGGCAGCAGUGGGGAAUAUUGGGCAAUGGGCGCAAGCCUGACCCAGCAAUGCCGCGUGAAGGAAGAAGGCUUUCGGGUUGUAAACUUCUUUUAAGUGGGACGAUAAUGACGGUACCACUUGAAUAAGCUCCGGCUAACUACGUGCCAGCAGCCGCGGUAAUACGUAGGGAGCAAGCGUUAUCCGGAUUUACUGGGUGUAAAGGGCGUGUAGCCGGGUCGGCAAGUCAGAUGUGAAAUCCAUGGGCUUAACUCAUGAACUGCAUUUGAAACUGUUGAUCUUGAGUAUCGGAGAGGCAAUCGGAAUUCCUUGUGUAGCGGUGAAAUGCGUAGAUAUAAGGAGGAACACCAGUGGCGAAGGCGGAUUGCUGGACGACAACUGACGGUGAGGCGCGAAAGCGUGGGGAGCAAACAGGAUUAGAUACCCUGGUA
rnacentral:rRNA from 1 species